rnacentral:rRNA from 1 species
UGAAUACGAGAUGCUACGGCAUUGAAGCAGUGUAUGUCAGACUUCCAAGAAAAGCUCGCAAUGUCAUAAACAAUAAAUGCCUGUACCAUAACCGACACAGGUGGGUAGGUAGAGUAUACUAAGGGGCGCGAGAUAACUCUCUCUAAGGAACUCGGCAAAAUGGCUCCGUAACUUCGGGAGAAGGAGUGCCUUAUUUUAUAAGGUUGCAAUAACAAGAUCCAAGCAACUGUUUACCAAAAACACAGGUCUCCGCUAAGUCGAAAGACGAUGUAUGGGGGCUGACGCCUGCCCAGUGCCAGAAGGUUAAAGAAGUUGGUUAGCUUCGGCGAAGCUGAUGACUGAAGCCCUGGUGAACGGCGGCCGUAACGAUAACGGUCCUAAGGUAGCGAAAUUCCUUGUCGGGUACGUUCCGACCCGCACGAAAGGCGUAAUGAUUUGGAUACUGUCUCGGAGAGGGGCUCGGUGAAAUAGACUUGUCUGUGAAGAUGCGGACUACCUGCACCUGGACAGAAAGACCCUAUGAAGCUUUACUGUAACUUGAGAUUGAAAUUGGACUUUAUUUGCGCAGUAUAGGUGGGAGACGUUGAGAAUAUUCUUGCGGGAAUAUUGGAGUCAUCAGUGAGAUACCACUCUUGUAAUGUUAGAUUUCUAACUUUGUAUCAUUAUCUGGUCAAAGGACAGUUUCAGGCGGGCAGUUUGACUGGGGCGGUCGCCUCCUAAACGGUAACGGAGGCGCACAAAGGUUUCCUCUGAACGUGUAGAAAUCGUAUCUAGAGUGUAAAGGCAUAAGGAAGCUUGACUGUGAGACCUACAAGUCGAGCAGGGACGAAAGUCGGUCUUAGUGAUCUGUCGGUGCUGAGUGGAAAGGCCGUCACUCAACGGAUAAAAGUUACUCUAAGGAUAACAGGCUGAUCUCCCCCAAGAGUUCACAUCGACGGGGAGGUUUGGCACCUCGAUGUCGGCUCAUCGCAUCCUGGGGCGGUAGUACGUCCCAAGGGUUGGGCUGUUCGCCCAUGAAAGCGGUACGCGAGCUGGGUUCAGAACGUCGUGAGACAGUUCGGUCCAUAUCCGGUGUAGGCGUUAGAAUAUUGAGAGGAGCCUUCUUUAGUACGAGAGGACCGAGAAGGACAUACCUCUGGUGUACCGGUUAUCGUGCCAACGGUAAACGCUGGGUAGCUAUGUAUGGAGUGGAUAACCGCUGAAAGCAUCUAAGUGGGAAGCCCACCUCAAGAUAAGUAUUCUCAC